CAAGUGCCUUGUGAAAUCCCACGGCUCAACCGUGGAAUUGCUCGGCAGACUGCCCGUCUUGAGCCCGGCAGGGGCCGUCAGAACGGUAGGUGGAGCGGUGAAAUGCGUAGAUAUCUACCGGAAUGCCAAAGGGGAAGCCAGACGGCUGGGCCGGAGCUGACGCUCAGGCACGAAAGCGUGGGUAGCGAACGGGAUUAGAUACCCCGGUAGUCCACGCCCUAAACGAUGUGCACUAGAUCGAGGAGGUUUCAACGCCAUCUCGGUCGUAGCUAAAGCGUUAAGUGCACCGCCUGGGGAGUACGGUCGCAAGGCUAAAACUCAAAGGAAUUGACGGGGGCUCACACGAGCGGUGGAGCAUGUGGCUUAAUUCGAAGCAACGCGAAGAACCUUAUCCAGGGCUUGACAUGCACGGAUUAACGUUAUGAAAGUAACGCCACGCCCUUUGGGUGGAACGUGCACAGGUGCUGCAUGGCUGUCGUCAGCUCGUGCUGUGAAGUGUCGGGUUAAGUCCCUUAACGAGCGAAACCCCUGUCGUUAGUUGCCAUCAGGUCAAGCUGGGGACUCUAACGAGACCGCCGGUGUCAAACCGGAGGAAGGUGGGGACGACGUCAAGUCAUCAUGGCCUUUAUGCCCUGGGGCUGCACACGUGCUACAAUGGCGCUUACAGAGCGACGCGAUACCGCAAGGUGGAGCAAAUCGCAAAAAAAGCGCCCCAGUUCGGAUUGCGGUCUGCAACUCGACCGCAUGAAGGUGGAAUCGCUAGUA
rnacentral:rRNA from 1 species